AAUCAACGCUGGCGGCAUGCCUAACACAUGCAAGUCGAGCGAGAAAGUGUAGCAAUACAUGAGUAAAGCGGCGCACGGGUGAGUAACACGUGGAUAACCUGCCUCAAAGUGGGGAAUAACACCGGGAAACCGGUGCUAAUACCGCAUAUUCUGAUGAAGUCUGCGGAUUUUGUCAGUAAAGGAGCAAUUCGCUAUGAGAGGGGUCCGCGGCUGAUUAGCUAGUUGGUGAGGUAAUGGCUCACCAAGGCAACGAUCAGUAGCCGGUCUGAGAGGACGGUCGGCCACACUGGGAACUGAGACACGGUCCAGACUCCUACGGGAGGCAGCAGUGGGGAAUCUUGCGCAAUGGGCGAAAGCCUGACGCAGCGACGCCGCGUGAGGGAUGACGGCCU
rnacentral:rRNA from 1 species